GCACCCAUAGCUCAACUGGAUAGAGCAUCGGUCUACGGAACCGAAGGUUGAAGGUUCGAAUCCUUCUGGGUGUAC
rnacentral:tRNA from 1 species